GACCAUAUCACGUUGGAACCCCCCGAUGCCCGCACGGUCACCGAAGUUAAGCAACACCUGGUCAGUACGUAGAUGGGUGACCGCUUGGGAAUACCAGGUGCUGUAAU